rnacentral:rRNA from 1 species
GACGAACGCUGGCGGCGUGCUUAACACAUGCAAGUCGAACGGAAAGGCCCUGCUUUUGUGGGGUGCUCGAGUGGCGAACGGGUGAGUAACACGUGAGUAACCUGCCCUUGACUUUGGGAUAACUUCAGGAAACUGGGGCUAAUACCGGAUAGGAGCUCCUGCUGCAUGGUGGGGGUUGGAAAGUUUCGGCGGUUGGGGAUGGACUCGCGGCUUAUCAGCUUGUUGGUGGGGUAGUGGCUUACCAAGGCUUUGACGGGUAGCCGGCCUGAGAGGGUGACCGGCCACAUGGGGACGGAGAAACGCCCCAGCCUCCUACGGGGGGCAGGAGGGGGGAAUAUUGCAAAAGGGGCGGAAGCCUGAGGAAGAAACCCCGGGUGGGGGAGGGGGGCUUUGGGGUUGAAAACCGUUUUCGCCUGUGACGGGGGGUGGGGGACGGUAAGGGGGAAAGAAGCACCGGCUAACUACG